GAUGAACGCUGGCGGCGUGCUUAACACAUGCAAGUCGAGCGAAGCACUUAUAAAGAUUCUUCGGAUGAAUCAUUUGUGCCUGAGCGGCGGACGGGUGAGUAACGCGUGAGUAACCUGCCUUAUACAGGGGAAUAACAGUUAGAAAUGACUGCUAAUGCCGCAUAAGCGCACAGGACCGCAUGGUACGGUGUGAAAAACUCCGGUGGUAUGAGAUGGACUCGCGUCUGAUUAGCUGGUUGGUGAGGUAACGGCCCACCAAGGCGACGAUCAGUAGCCGGCCUGAGAGGGUGAACGGCCACAUUGGGACUGAGACACGGCCCAAACUCCUACGGGAGGCAGCAGUGGGGAAUAUUGCACAAUGGGGGAAACCCUGAUGCAGCGACGCCGCGUGAGUGAAGAGGUAUUUCGGUAUGUAAAGCUCUAUCAGCAGGGAAGAAAAUGACGGUACCUGACUAAGAAGCCCCGGCUAACUACGUGCCAGCCGCCGCGGUAA
rnacentral:rRNA from 1 species